AACGAACGCUGGCGGCACGUUUUAAGCAUGCAAGUCGAAUGGCAGUGGGGGCAACCCCAUGAGAAUGGCGAACGGGUGAGUAACACGUAGGUGAUCUGCCUGACGGAUGGGGAUAGCUUGUGGAAACACAGGGUAAUACCGAAUGAGCUGACGAGACUUUGGUUUUGUUAGUAAAGGUGCUACGGCACAGCCGACAGAGGAGCCUGCGGCUGAUUAGCUAGUUGGUGGGGUAAAGGCCUACCAAGGCGACGAUCAGUAGCCGGCCUGAGAGGGUGUACGGCCACACUGGAACUGAGACACGGUCCAGACGCCUACGGGAGGCAGCAGCUAAGAAUCUUCCGCAAUGGGCGAAAGCCUGACGGAGCGAUGCCGCGUGAUCGAUGAAGGUCGAGAGAUUGUAAAGAUCUUUUCUACAUGAGGAAUAAGUCUGGGAGGGAAUGCCUGGAUGAUGACGUUAGUGUAGGAAUAAGCCCCGGCUAAUUACGUGCCAGCCGCCGCAGUAA
rnacentral:rRNA from 1 species